GAUGAACGCUGGCGGCGUGCCUAAUACAUGCCAGUCGAGCGAACGGACGAGAAGCUUGCUUCUCUGAUGUUAGCGGCGGACGGGUGAGUAACACGUGGAUAACCUACCUAUAAGACUGGGAUAACUUCGGGAAACCGGAGCUAAUACCGGAUGAUAUUUUGAACCGCAUGGUUCAAAAGUGAAAGACGGUCUUGCUGUCACUUAUAGAUGGAUCCGCGCUGCAUUAGCUAGUUGGUAAGGUAACGGCUUACCAAGGCAACGAUGCAUAGCCGACCUGAGAGGGUGAUCGGCCACACUGGAACUGAGACACGGUCCAGACUCCUACGGGAGGCAGCAGUAGGGAAUCUUCCGCAAUGGGCGAAAGCCUGACGGAGCAACGCCGCGUGAGUGAUGAAGGUCUUCGGAUCGUAAAACUCUGUUAUUAGGGAAGAACAUAUGUGUAAGUAACUGUGCACAUCUUGACGGUGCCUAAUCAGAAAGCCACGGCUAACUACGUG
rnacentral:rRNA from 1 species